rnacentral:rRNA from 1 species
GAUGAACGCUGGCGGCGUGCCUAACACAUGCAAGUCGAGCGAUCUCUUCGGAGAGAGCGGCGGACGGGUGAGUAACGCGUGGGUAACCUGCCCUGUACACACGGAUAACAUACCGAAAGGUAUACUAAUACGGGAUAACAUACGAAAGUCGCAUGGCUUUUGUAUCAAAGCUCCGGCGGUACAGGAUGGACCCGCGUCUGAUUAGCUAGUUGGUAAGGUAACGGCUUACCAAGGCAACGAUCAGUAGCCGACCUGAGAGGGUGAUCGGCCACACUGGAACUGAGACACGGUCCAGACUCCUACGGGAGGCAGCAGUGGGGAAUAUUGCACAAUGGGCGAAAGCCUGAUGCAGCAACGCCGCGUGAGCGAUGAAGGCCUUCGGGUCGUAAAGCUCUGUCCUCAAGGAAGAUAAUGACGGUACUUGAGGAGGAAGCCCCGGCUAACUACGUGCCAGCAGCCGCCGUAACAC